rnacentral:rRNA from 1 species
UACGGAGGGUGCGAGCGUUGUCCGGAAUCAUUGGGCGUAAAGGGCGUGUAGGCGGAUCCGUAAGUCUGGUUUUAAAGACCGGGGCUCAACCCCGGGGAUGGACUGGAUACUGUGGAUCUUGACCUCUGGAGAGGUCGCUGGAAUUCCUGGUGUAGCGGUGGAAUGCGUAGAUACCAGGAGGAACACCAAUGGCGAAGGCAGGCGACUGGACAGAAGGUGACGCUGAGGCGCGAAAGCGUGGGGAGCGAACAGG